UAAAAAUCCCCCACAUUUCAUUUAGAUUUCCAACACUUUUCGUGAAUGAAACUUUUAAGAUCUAAAUUUCAUGCCUUAUGCACUGCUUAUUGAACCAUUACGUUUAGAGAUGCGUCUUUCGUGCCAUAUUUUCGGUCGGCUGUAACGCUUGAUACAAAUAAUAAUUUAAUUUGCUGCUGAUUUGUUAUUUAAUUUUGAUGACAGUGUUUACACAAGAAUCGCAAUCUAAGGUCUCUGUGAUUUACUAAUCAUCUUUCGACUUAGUUCUUGAAAGAAGGUUGAGGGAAGUUGUUCGGAUGGGGGAAGAGCAGUAUGGAUUCAUACCGGGGAGAGGAACGACGGAUGCAGAAAGACAGAGAAUUGUAUAUGGUGUUUGUAGAUUUGGAGAAGGCGUUUGAUAGAGUUCCGAGAAAGGUGAUCGAGUACGCGCUGCGUAAGAAAGGUGUGACAGAGAAUAUAGUUCGGGCAGUUAUGGAGACUUAUGAAGGUGUAGAGGCGGUGGUUACGGAGGAAGGUGUUAGAUCUGGUGUUUUUGAGGUAAAAGUUGGUGUUCAUCAAGGUUGAGUCUUGUCGCCGUUACUGUUUGCUUGUGUGAUGGAUGUACUGACAGAGGAAGUGAGAAGAAAAGAAGGAUGCUGGUGUUUGUUGUAUGCAGAUGACAUUGUCUUGGUGGCGGAGUCGAAGCACAAAGUCAUGGAAUGGUACCGAGAAUGGAAAACGGCAAUAGAAGUCAAGGGACUGAAAGUGAAUGAGGCAAAGACGAAGGGCAUGAGAUGCUCGAGGCAGGUGGAGGUGAAGGACAGUGAUAAAUGGCCAUGUGGUGUGUGU